rnacentral:rRNA from 1 species
CCUACGGGAGGCAGCAGUGAGGAAUAUUGGUCAAUGGGCGCAAGCCUGAACCAGCCAUGCCGCGUGCAGGAUGACGGUCCUAUGGAUUGUAAACUGCUUUUGUACAGGAAGAAACACUCCCUCGUGAGGGAGCUUGACGGUACUGUAAGAAUAAGGAUCGGCUAACUCCGUGCCAGCAGCCGCGGUAAUACGGAGGAUCCAAGCGUUAUCCGGAAUCAUUGGGUUUAAAGGGUCCGUAGGCGGUUUUAUAAGUCAGUGGUGAAAUCUGGUCGCUCAACGAUCAAACGGCCAUUGAUACUGUAAGACUUGAAUUACUUGGAAGUAACUAGAAUAUGUAGUGUAGCGGUGAAAUGCUUAGAGAUUACAUGGAAUACCAAUUGCGAAGGCAGGUUACUACAAGUAUAUUGACGCUGAUGGACGAAAGCGUGGGGAGCGAACAGGAUUAGAUACCCUGGUAGUCCACGCCGUAAACGAUGGAUACUAGCUGUUUGGAGCAAUCUGAGUGNGUAGACGAAGUAGAGUAAGUAAGUACCGACCGUACGGGAGGUAACGGUCGUCGCGAAGAAGUUAGAAACGUAACGAAAGUUAGAAGUUAGACGGCGUUGAGACGAGACGACGGACGACGACGAGGGAGGAGGAG